UACGAAGGGGGCUAGCGUUGUUCGGAAUUACUGGGCGUAAAGCGCACGUAGGCGGACUAUUAAGUCAGGGGUGAAAUCCCGGGGCUCAACCUCGGAACUGCCUUUGAUACUGUUGGUCUUGAGUCCGGAAGAGGUGAGUGGAAUUCCUAGUGUAGAGGUGAAAUUCGUAGAUAUUAGGAAGAACACCGGUGGCGAAGGCGGCUCACUGGUCCGGUACUGACACUGAGGUGCGAAAGCGUGGGGAGCAAACAGG
rnacentral:rRNA from 1 species